rnacentral:rRNA from 1 species
CGCGUAGGCGGCCAUAUAAGUCAGAUGUGAAAGUCCACGGCUCAACCGUGGAAGUGCAUUUGAAACUGUGUGGCUUGAGUACUGGAGGGGGUAGUGGAAUUCCCGGUGUAGAGGUGAAAUUCGUAGAUAUCGGGAGGAAUACCGGUGGCGAAGGCGACUACCUGGCCAGAUACUGACGCUGAGGUGCGAAAGCGUGGGGAGCAAACA